AAAUUGUUGUAUUGUAUUUAUAUUUUGUUUUUAUUGGUUUUAAUAUCUUGUCGUCUUUCAAUUGGAAGGUUAAGCAGGAGUGUACUAAAAAUAGUGCUAACAUGCCUUAUAGAGCCGUUAAAAUACCUUCCAAGCAAAAUUUAUAUAGUUUACAAUCACAAAUUAAUCGUGUGACCGAAAAAUUAAAAGAUAUGGAGUACAAACGUGAAUUAUUGGAGAUCAAAUACAGAAUAUAUGAGGAAAGCCUAAAAGAAGCGCUUAACAGCGUUGAGUUGGGUUUGAAGAGAAGGCAGAAAAAGAGAAUGAUUUUCAAAAGUAGACACAGUUUAAAUAGCAAAAAAAGUGCCAAACAAUGAACUUCGAACUAAAAGGGACAGUUGCAGAAUAAAAGGGACAGUUGCAGACUAAGAGGGACAGUUGCAGACUAAAAGGGACAGUUGCAGACUAAGAGGGACAGUUGCAGACUAAAACGGACAGUUGCAGACUAAGAGGGACAGUCGCAGACAAGUAAGUGGACAUUUACGUUGAGCUUUCUCAUAAGCUUAGAAGGUACACAAAAGUUAUAACUAAAAUAAGACUGCACUGACACUGUUGCUCUUAGCCAGAACCAGAACUUUAGCUACUAAAAAGAGAGAGGAUAUGCUACAGCUCUUGCGCAUCUAAGAGCUGAAUAUUUUUAAAUCGCUGAAAUCCUCAAUAUUAAGAGAUUACAAAUACUUAGAUUGUGAGCUUACGUGAGGAGUAAAGUACGGUGAAGUAUGGUUUUAAACUUCAAAAAGAUGGUUCGAUGGUGUACGAUUACUGGCUUGAAACUGUAAAAAUUUAUGCUGCGAGAAGGAUAAAUGUUUUAAAGACAUAGUAAUAUCAAAGUUAUUGAGGCUCUGGUUGAAGGGAUGUGUUGGCAUAUUUUUAGUACACGUUUUAGUCAAAUAUUAUAGUUUCUUUUUUUGGCUAUUAUCAAUUUGGUAAAUUUGAAAAUGAUGAUUAUGUUCAAAGUCAUAAUUUGGAAAAAUUAUAAAGCAAAAUUUCUAUGGAACCACUCUAGAGCAACAAAAGGGAUUUCUUGCAAAAACCUAUAACAAGAUUGCUCACCGGAUGAACGAGGAUGUGGAGUUUGGUCCAAAUUUAAAUUUCGAAAAAUAAAGAGAACGUGACUAUUGGACUAUGAUGUUUUAUUCCAAAACAUUUCGAAAAAAUUCCUGCUAAAUUUCCAACAAGCCUUCCACCUUAAGAUCGAAAAUUAUAUACAAGAUAUAUAAAACCAAUGAAAUAAUUAAAAAUAAAAAA